CGGAGACGAGAUUUGGCUCCCGUAGGAGCCCGGGCGAAGUCUACCUGCAAUUAAAGUUAGGGGCGAAGUCCGGCUCCCGUAGGAAUCCGGACGGAGCUUACCAAUGCGAAGUCCGGCUCCCGUAGGAGUCGGACGGAGUUUACCAAUGCGAAGUCCGGCUCUCGUAGGAGUCCGGAUGGAGUUUACCAAUAGUUGAAGUCGGGGACGAAGUCUGGCUCCCGUAGGAGCACGGGUGGAGUCUUC
rnacentral:lncRNA from 1 species